rnacentral:rRNA from 1 species
AGUCGAGGGGCAGCGGGGGAGUAGCAAUACUCCCGCCGGCGACCGGCGCUCGGGUGAGUAACACGUAUGAAACCUGCCCGUAGCAGGGGGAUAAGCGGAAGAAAUUCCGUCUAAUACCGCGUAACAACCCAUGGAGGCAUCUCCGUGGGUUUAAAGGAAGCGAUUCCGGCUACGGAUGGUCAUGCGUCGCAUUAGCUUGUUGGCGGGGUAACGGCCCACCAAGGCGACGAUGCGUAGGGGUUCUGAGAGGAAGGUCCCCCACACUGGUACUGAGACACGGACCAGACUCCUACGGGAGGCAGCAGUGAGGAAUAUUGGUCAAUGGCCGCAGGGCUGAACCAGCCAAGUCGCGUGAGGGAUGACGGUCCUAUGGAUUGUAAACCUCUUUUGUCAGGGAGCAAAGGGCGCCACGUGUGGCGUUUUGCGAGUACCUGAAGAAAAAGCAUCGGCUAACUCCGUGCCAGCAGCCGCGGUAAUACGGAGGAUGCGAGCGUUAUCCGGAUUUAUUGGGUUUAAAGGGUGCGCAGGCGGAAUGUCAAGUCAGCGGUAAAAUUUCGGGGCUCAACCCCGUCGUGCCGUUGAAACUGGCGUUCUUGAGUGAGCGAGAAGUAUGCGGAAUGCGUGGUGUAGCGGUGAAAUGCAUAGAUAUCACGCAGAACUCCGAUUGCGAAGGCAGCAUGCCGGCGCUCAACUGACGCUCAUGCACGAAAGCGUGGGUAUCGAACAGGAUUAGAUACCCUGGUAGUCCACGCAGUAAACGAUGAAUACUAACUGUCCGGGCAGAAUGAUGCCUGGGUGGUACAGCGAAAGCGUUAAGUAUUCCACCUGGGGAGUACGCCGGCAACGGUGAAAC